AAGCAACAAAGAAUGCCAACACUGGAUCAAAACCGGAACAUGCUGUAACAGCUGCUUGCAGCAACAAAGAAUGCCAACACUGGUUCAAAACCGGAACAUGCUGUUACAGCUGCUUGCAGCAACAAAGUCCAAAUAACAGAUGGCAAAUCUACAAAUAAAAAUGGUGAACGCCAAUGGCGUUUUACGGCAUAAACUUGAAGUAACACAGUUCCUGAAUGAAAAUCAUAGCGACUUUAGGCUACUGAUUUUGCAGUGACAUAAAACAUUACCCGCAAUAUAAUAAGCGCCAAGGCGCUUUUAGAGCUGUCGUCAAACCAAUUACUCUUUUUCAAAGCCCAAAAACUACAGAUCGUCUGUGGUUACAAUAUAAAAAGUAUUUAAGCUCACACAUCAAAUUAAUCCCUCAGUUCAACUUUGAAGCGGACAUCGAAUGCUCUACCGAUGCUCUUGAAGAAAUAUUCGCGGAGGCAGUCACUAUCUAGACACCCAUGGCAGCGUCGUUCAAAACGACCACUUCAAAACUAAUCUGCAAUUGAACGGCUAGUCCUAGAGGCGCCUGCGACAUGCUUGGCAAACAGACAGAUCGCCGUCAUCAAAACAACGUCUUAAGAAAUCCAUACGCACACUAAAUCGAGCUUUAAAGCAAGAAACAGAAAAUGCGCAACUCCGGUACAUUAAAAAAAAACUUUUCCAAACAGUACAAAACACCCUCUGUGGAGGGCUCACCCAAAUCUGAGCUCUCCUUCGAAACAAUCCGAUAAGCAAUCUAUCAAGUAGCUGGGUCCGCAGCGACGAAGAUUGAGCCGAAACUUUUGCUUCACAUCUCCGGGACAACUUCCAGGCGAACCCUUUUCUAUUUGUUUGUUCAACCAAAGAAGACCGCAAAAGUCGUUGGGGAACUGAAACCGAAGAAGGCACUUGGCGGUAACCAAAUAAACCCAAAAACGUUCAUUGAACUUCUUAACUCUGCCAUUGAGGUUAUUUGUCAGCUCUUCAAUGCACAGUGGUUGAUUCCAUAGGCCAAAUGUAAGAAAACAGAAGUCCGAAAUCGGUCACUUUUUGUCUUAAAAUUUUUUCCUAAUAGAGAAAUAAAACGAACAGUAUUUUCAUU